rnacentral:tRNA from 6 species
GGAGAGGUGGCUGAGCGGUUGAAAGCGGCGGUCUUGAAAACCGUUGAAGGGCGACCUUCCCAGGGUUCGAAUCCCUGCCUCUCCGCCA